rnacentral:rRNA from 1 species
CCCUUAGAUGUCCGGGGCUGCACGCGCGCUACACUGAAGGAAUCAGCGUGCUAAAACCAUUGUCGAAAGGCAUUGGUAAACCCAUUAAAAUCCUACGUGAUUGGGAUCGGGAAUUGCAAUUAUUUCCCUUGAACGAGGAAUUCCCAGUAAGUGUGGGUCAUAAGCUCGCGUUGAUUACGUCCCUGCCCUUUGUACACACCGCCCGUCGCUGCCCGGGACUGAGCCGUUUCGAGAAAAGCGGGGACUGCUGCUGUCGGGGCUUUCGGGCCUUGUCUUCGGUGGAAACCGCUUUAAUCGCAGUGGCUUGAACCGGGCAAAAGUCGUAACA